rnacentral:lncRNA from 1 species
CCCCCCCCCCCCCCCCCCCCCCCCCCCCCCCCCCCCCCCAGGUGACGUGAGCAUCGGCAUUAAGUGCGCGCCGGGGGUGGUGGGCGCGGCGGAGGCCGACAUCGAUUUCACCAUCAUCAAAAACGACAACGACACCUUCACCGUCAAGUACACCCCGCCCGGAGCCGGACUGCUCACCAUCAUGGUGCUCUUCGGGACCAAGGUACCGCACCGCUCGCACUAUUGGCACCGUUGGCACCACUGACACCAUUGUCACUAUUGUCACCACUGACACUAUUGUCACUAUUGUCACCACUGACACUGUUGGCACUACUGGCACUACUGGCACUACUAGCACUAUUGGCACUACUGUCACUAUUGGCACCACUGACACCACUGACACCAUUGGCACCAUUGGCGCUAUUGGCACUAUUGGCACCACUGACACCAUUGUCACCACUGACACUAUUGGCAACAUUGGAACCAUUGGCACUAUUGGCACCAUUGGCACCACUGACACCAUUGACACUAUUGGCACUACUGGCACUAUUGGCACCAUUGGCACCACUGACACCAUUGGCACCAUUGGCACUAUUGGCACCAUUGGCACUAUUGACACUAUUGUCACCAUUGGCACUAUUGUCACCAUUUGCACUAUUGUCACCAUUGUCACCAUUGGUACCAUUGGCACUAUUGUCACCACUGACACCACUGACACUAUUGGCACCACUGGCACCAUUGGCACCAUUGUCACCACUGUCACCGCUGUUACCAUUGGUGCCAUUGUCACUAUUGUCACCACUGACACUAUUGGCACUAUUGGCACUACUAGCACUAUUGACACUAUUGGCACUACUGGCACCAUUGGCACCAUUGGCACUAUUGUCACCACUGACUGACCCUAUUGGCACUAUUGGCACUACUGGCACCAUUGGCACUACUGGCACCACUGGCACUAUUGGCACUAUUGGCACUAUUGGCAACAUUGUCAUUAUUGGCACUACUGGCACUAUUGUCACUAUUGUCACUACUGGCACUACUGGCACCACUGACACUACUGUCACCACUGACACUAUUGUCACUAUUGUCACUAUUGUCACCACUGACACUAUUGUCACUAUUGGCACUACUGGCACCAUUGGCACUAUUGGCACCGCUGUUACCAUUGGCGCCAUUGUCACUACUGUCACCACUGACACUAUUGGCACCACUGGCACCAUUGUCACCAUUGUUACUAUUGGCAUCACUGACACUAUUGGCACCACUGGCACCACUGGCACCAUUGGCACUACUGGCACCAUUGUCAUCAUUGGUGC